CAUCCCGUUUGUCCUAGGUCUUUCUCUUCACUGCUGUCAUUUCCUAUCAUCUCACACCAGCUCAGUGUGUGGCGCACGAACACCAGGAACCUUUGGAUAGCAGGAGGGUUACAGGGUACCUAGAGGCAGAGGGAUGUGUCGUAGGCACCCGGUGCUAGAAUCCACCGGGAGCUUCAUGCAAUUGUGGUGACUCUGGGAGAGACUCCGGACUGUGCCACCCACAAACCCAUCUCUCGUGACAGAUAGGAAUGUCGCCGUCGGUGGCUUUCAUUAAAAAAACAAAACAAACCCUAAGAAGCUGAAAGGUUGCAGUUGUGGUUUUUCUAUUCUGCUUGCUGAGAGUUGAACUCACGUGAGACUGAUGGGCAGAAGCCAGCGCCAAGCGGUGCACGGCAGCAGAGGGUGACAGGCGGCGGUGGAGAGGUGGUGCAACGAGUGGCCGGCAGCAGCAGGCAGAUGACGCGUGUCCAGCAGAGAUCCAUGUCCAUGGUCUGUAGACAGCAAGUGCAUCAUCCCGACAGUCAGCACAACUGGGCCUUCACACCGCUCCAGGAAGCUUUCCAGCGUCUCACCCGAUGGUCUCCAAGGAAUCCGAAGGAGAAAAUAAGCUUGGAUCCCAAAGAUCACGUCAAGGCAAUACCACCCCACGGG